rnacentral:rRNA from 1 species
AUUGAACGCUGGCGGCAUGCUUUACACAUGCAAGUCGAACGGCAGCGCGGGCUUCGGCCUGGCGGCGAGUGGCGAACGGGUGAGUAAUACAUCGGAACGUGCCCAGUAGUGGGGGAUAGCUCGGCGAAAGCCGGAUUAAUACCGCAUACGACCUGAGGGUGAAAUCGGGGGAUCUUCGGACCUCGCGCUAUUUGAGCGGCCGAUGGCAGAUUAGCUAGUUGGUGGGGUAAAGGCCUACCAAGGCGACGAUCUGUAGCUGGUCUGAGAGGACGACCAGCCACACUGGGACUGAGACACGGCCCAGACUCCUACGGGAGGCAGCAGUGGGGAAUUUUGGACAAUGGGCGAAAGCCUGAUCCAGCAAUGCCGCGUGUGUGAUGAAGGCCUUCGGGUUGUAAAGCACUUUUGGCGGGAACGAAAAGGACUGUGCCAAUACCACGGUUCGAUGACGGUACCCGCAGAAUAAGCACCGGCUAACUACGUG